rnacentral:misc_RNA from 1 species
AAAGUCGUAACAAGGUUUCCGUAGGUGAACCUGCGGAAGGAUCAUUACCUAGAGUUUGUGGGCUUUGCCCGCUACCUCUUACCCAUGUCUUUUGAGUACUUACGUUUCCUCGGCGGGUCCGCCCGCCGAUUGGACAAAAUUAAACCCUUUGCAGUUGCAAUCAGCGUCUGAAAAACAAAUAAUAAUUACAACUUUUAACAACGGAUCUCUUGGUUCUG